rnacentral:rRNA from 1 species
UACGGAGGAUCCAAGCGUUAUCCGGAUUUAUUGGGUUUAAAGGGAGCGUAGGCGGCCUGUUAAGUCAGGGGUGAAAGACGAUGGCUCAACCAUCGCAGUGCCUUUGAUACUGACAGGCUUGAAUAUAGUUGAGGUAGGCGGAAUGUGACAAGUAGCGGUGAAAUGCAUAGAUAUGUCACAGAACACCGAUUGCGAAGGCAGCUUACUAAGCUAUUAUUGACGCUGAGGCUCGAAAGCGUGGGGAUCAAACAGG